UACGUAGGGUGCAAGCGUUAAUCGGAAUUACUGGGCGUAAAGCGUGCGCAGGCGGUUAUGCAAGACAGAUGUGAAAUCCCCGGGCUCAACCUGGGAAUUGCAUCUGUGACUGCACGGCUAGAGUGUGUCAGAGGGGGGUAGAAUUCCACGUGUAGCAGUGAAAUGCGUAGAGAUGUGGAGGAAUACCGAUGGCGAAGGCAGCCCCCUGGGAUAACACUGACGCUCAUGCACGAAAGCGUGGGGAGCAAACAGG
rnacentral:rRNA from 1 species